rnacentral:rRNA from 1 species
AGGACGAACGCUGGCGGCGUGCCUAACACAUGCAAGUCGAACGGAGCCCGCAAGGGUUCAGUGGCGAACGGGUGCGUAACACGUGAGGAACUUGUCCAUCGGCGGGGGAUAGCCGGCCCAACGGCCGGGUAAUACCGCGUACGCCGUCCGGAGCGCAUGCUCUGGCCGGGAAAGCAGCAAUGCACCGAUGGAGAGCCUCGCGGCCUAUCAGCUAGUUGGUGGGGUAAUGGCCUACCAAGGCGACGACGGGUAGCUGGUCUGAGAGGAUGACCAGCCACAUUGGGACUGAGACACGGCCCAGACUCCUACGGGAGGCAGCAGUGGGGAAUAUUGCGCAAUGGGCGAAAGCCUGACGCAGCGACGCCGCGUGUGGAUGACGGCCUUCGGGUUGUAACCACUGUCGCGAGGGACGAAGAUCUGACGGUACCUCGGAAAGGAAGCACCGGCUAACUCUGCGCCGAGCAGCCGCGGU